rnacentral:rRNA from 1 species
UGGGGAAUAUUGCACAAUGGGCGAAAGCCUGAUGCAGCAACGCCGCGUGAGCGAUGAAGGCCUUUGGGUCGUAAAGCUCUGUCCUAGGGGAAGAAUAAAUGACGGUACCCUUGGAGGAAGCCCCGGCUAACUACGUGCCAGCAGCCGCGGUAAUACGUAGGGGGCAAGCGUUAUCCGGAAUUAUUGGGCGUAAAGAGUGCGUAGGUGGUUUUGUAAGCGCGGGGUGAAAGGCAAUAGCUCAACUAUUGUAAGCCCUGCGAACUGUGAGACUUGAGUGCAGGAGAGGAAAGCGGAAUUCCUAGUGUAGCGAUGAAAUGCGUAGAUAUUAGGAGGAACACCAGUGGCGAAGGCGGCUUUCUGGACUGUAACUGACACUGAGGCACGAAAGCGUGGGGAGCAAA